rnacentral:rRNA from 1 species
AACGAACGCUGGCGGCAUGCCUAACACAUGCAAGUCGAACGAGAUCUUCGGGUCUAGUGGCGCACGGGUGCGUAACGCGUGGGAAUCUGCCCUUUGGUUCGGAAUAACAGUUGGAAACGACUGCUAAUACCGGAUGAUGACGAAAGUCCAAAGAUUUAUCGCCAGAGGAUGAGCCCGCGUAGGAUUAGCUAGUUGGUGUGGUAAAGGCGCACCAAGGCGACGAUCCUUAGCUGGUCUGAGAGGAUGAUCAGCCACACUGGGACUGAGACACGGCCAAGACUCCUACGGGAGGCAGAAGUGGGGAAUAUUGGACAAUGGGCGAAAGCCUGAUCCAGCAAUGCCGCGUGAGUGAGGAAGGCCUUGGGGUUGUAAAGCUCUUUUACCCGGGAUGAUAAUGACAGUACCGGGAGAAUAAGCUCCGGCUAACUCCGUGCCAGCAGCCGCCGUAA